GAUUGGCCGGCUGCGCUAAGCUCCCAUUCAAGGUAGGUUGCAGAAACAAAACAAAAAAAAUUAAAAAUAUUUUAAAAAUAUCUUUAAAAAAUUUUUUUGGGGAAAAAAAUUAACAAAACAUUAAGAGACAAUUAGAGAAUGGGCCAACGAUGGUUCAAAUUACAUUGCCGGUUACGCCGUGAGACAACGUAUUGGAAUGCGUCUCAAAAAGCGAGAACAAUCCGAUAUCAAUCCGAGAUAAGAUUCAAAACAUUUUUUGGACAUACCUAAUACCUACCUAUCUCACAGUUCUUUCCUUCAUAACCAGCCCGGCAGGCACAAACAUAGUUAUUGUUUUCAACACGACACCGCCCUCCGUUCAGGCAGAGGUGCCACGUGCAUGGGUUUUCAUAUUGUCCUUGGAAAGGAAGAAAGAUUGGAGCAUAGUUGGAACCAGGAAUUAAAAGCCCAUUGGGUGAUUGGUUUCAAAUAGAAGGACAUCAUCCUGAAUGCAACUGGUUUGGUCAAAAGCAAAGCAGAGACAGGUGUGGUUAAUACUUGGAUGGAAGACUUUCAGGAUGAGAGACCUCCAGGGAAUCCCAGAGAUUUAGAGGCAGGAAAGAAUCCUAUGGCGUUGAACCAGACUCAACAAUACAGAUGUGAAGUCUUGGCUCUGCCUUUUCCUCUCCUUAGAUUUAGUUUACUCUGUGUUUCCUUGACGGAUCUCCUCCAGAAAUCCGGAAUUGUGCCUUUUAUACCUGACCAAAACAUUGCUGGCUGCCUCCUGGUUGAUAAAAACUUCAACAUGAAAAGGAAGAAGAGACAAUUGGUAUCAUUGCUCUAUGAAAUGCACGCUAAACUGAUGCAGGAACACCCUGCACCUGAUUCCCAUCAUUCCCAUCAGAGUCAUCUUGAAACUCAUCCUGAACCUGAAUCCCAUCAUCUUGAAACCGCAUCCCAGAAUCUUCAUCAGAAUCACACAGAACAUUUUCUUCGGGGAGAUGCAUCAGUUUCUAUGUCACACACAGCACCGUUCCACUUCUGCUAAAUGUCAUGUUGCCAUUAUCACCUGGCCAUGAGUUUUCAAGAGUGUGAUGAAAAAAAGACAACAACCAAAACCGAACAUAGCUAAAUCAGAGUCCCCGACCAAUGGCAGAUCGCAUCAGCUGGCCAGGGAAAUUAUCCCACGAAAAUGGCAUUAGGGAGUAAUUGAUAGCUAAAACAGAGGAAGCCUCAGGGUUGAGGAACAGAGGAGACUUGGCACUGGAUAAACACAUUGCUGAAAAGGAGCCAAGAUGAGAAACCAAGGUAAUGCAAAGCACGGGAAAGCAGCUGGAGUUGAAGCUAGUUUAAGAAAGAAGUGCAUAAAUAAUCCAAGUAAACGUAAGCAAUGAAACUGAUUGGGGCAUUUUGGAAAGUGGUGCCCUAGAGCUUGUUGCCAUUGAUCGACCUAAGAAUUGCUUUUAAAAAUCUGGAUUGUUUCUAAUGGCAGAAUUAAGAACUUUCCCUUCUUUGGACAUCAAUCAGAGCUGGAGAUUGCUUUAGUAGACUCCGAUCUAUACAGUUUGCACUGCAUUACAUGGUCAGGACUGACUUAUAUCAUAUUAUAUGGGCCUACAUUCUCUGAGCCUCAGAGGACGGCAAGGACAAAGCUCUUCUGAGCCAAGCUUGCCUGGAAAACCCUGUGACAAGUUCACCUUAGGGUUACCAGAAGACAGAAGUGACUUGAAGGCACAUGAUGACAAACAUAAAUCCAUUUAAACAAACAGGAUUUUGCUUGCUACAAAACAGGAAAGCUAUCCAAUGCUUGCUUUUAAAAAACAACAUUUGUAGCAGCGGUUUAGAUUAAAACCUUACCCAAGGAAUAAUGACUUCCAAUCUAGUUGUAAUAGCAAAAUAUUAAAUCCACGGCUUGGCACGGG
rnacentral:lncRNA from 11 species